UCCGUAGGUGAACCUGCGGAAGGAUCAUUACCUAGAGUUGUAGGCUUUGCCUGCUAUCUCUUACCCAUGUCUUUUGAGUACUUACGUUUCCUCGGCGGGUCCGCCCGCCGAUUGGACAAUUUAAACCAUUUGCAGUUGCAAUCAGCGUCUGAAAAACUUUAAUAGUUACAACUUUCAACAACGGAUCUCUUGGUUCUGGCAUCGAUGAAGAACGCAGCGAAAUGCGAUAAGUAGUGUGAAUUGCAGAAUUCAGUGAAUCAUCGAAUCUUUGAGCGCACAUUGCGCCCCUUGGUAUUCCAUGGGGCAUGCCUGUUCGAGCGUCAUUUGUACCUUCAAGCUUUGCUUGGUGUUGGGUGUUUGUCUCGCCUUUGCGUGUAGACUCGCCUUAAAACAAUUGGCAGCCGGCGUAUUGAUUUCGGAGCGCAGUACAUCUCGCGCUUUGCACUCAUAACGACGACGUCCAAAAGUACAUUUUUACACUCUUGACCUCGGAUCAGGUAGGGAUACCCGCUGAACUUAAGCAUAUCAAUAAGCGGAGGAAAAGAAAC
rnacentral:rRNA from 1 species